AUAACAUCUGCGCGUGCAUGUUUGUUGAUCAUACGCGGGUAUAUAAACCAGGCUAAGCAUUCAUUCUUAACAAAGCCUGUUUUACCUCCAAGAAAGAUAAAGUUCGAAAAUGAAGAUAGGAAUUUUGAUUUUUGCAGUGUUUGCUGCUGUUUUUGCAGAAGAGAAGCCAGGUUACUGUCCGUCCAUUAUAACAGCUGUCACGACGGGAGUGUCACAGCAGGAAUGUGUCACGGACUUUCAUUGUAAUGGGACUGAUAAAUGCUGUGGAUCCAUGUGUACCCCGCCAGCGUGUGACAGUUUUU